AAUAAAUGGAAAAAACCAAAAUAUACGAUACAUUUCUACCAUAAAUAUAGUUCCAACAAAUAAACGACAAGACCUUGUUUGUUCUAUUUUUAAUCAAGUUUAUGAGUAAGUUGUUCGGUUUUUUUGGUUUUCUUUGUGGUUUCAUCAAUGAUUAGGAAUAACCGGAAAACACUUAAAAUGAUACCUGACAAAUUUAAGGCGUUACGAUUUCAUAAUUUCAUAUUUUUAUGCUUU